CUAUUUUCUCCAACCGCUAACCCUUAUCUUCCCAUGCACAGAACAAAAAAACUCGGAUUCUCCACCUCUAACAAUUCCAUUCACAAAUUUUUCUUUUACUUACGUACAAAACUUCUACACUCUCACAUAUUUUUCUAACACAAAAAUCUCUCCUAACUGUUUCUUGAUUACAACAAGCUAACAAUUUUCAGCUUUUAUCACCAUCUUUUCCAAACAUUCUAUCUAACCAAAACCUUCACAAGUCUGUCAAAACAAAAAUCCAUAAUCAUACAAUUUCAAUAUCUAAAUUUCAAACCAUGAAUAUUUAAACAUCAUCACCACUACACCACAAAUAACAUUAACACUAUUUGUAUAAAGCUUUUUUUUUUUUUUUUUUGCAGGAAGUAGAAGAAGAAGUAGAAAACUAAGCUGCUCGAAAACCACCGCGAGGACCUUUCCACGAUCACGUGUUUCAGAUCGUCCACCGCUUCGACGAAAUUAAAAUCGCGCCACCACCGUGGAACCUCCGGCCGGACUGCCGCACAAACUGACUCCGACCAGAAGCCUCCGCGAACAACAACGCACAACAGCGGCAGCCUCCUCCAGAUCCGGCGAAUGACUCCCUUCCGAUUGGACCAACGAAAACAACCUCCAGCCGCACUCACCACCGAAAACCGCCGGUAAUACCUUCAUUUAAUUGUACCUUUUUUGGGCUGAUGUGUGUUAAAUCUUGUAGGUUGGUCUACUUUCAUGGAGAAUGGAAAGAAGAAGGGAACCGUAAAAAGAAAAAAGGAGAUCUGAUACCUGGUUUUUGUUCUAACUUAUUUGUUUUUAUUGUUCUAACUUUCCAUGCCUUCCAUGUCACGUGUCAAAUUAUGACUGGUUAAUUUUAAAAAUAUAAAAAGUAAAGAAAAAGCUGUCUCUUCUAUUGUGAGGAAGAGGAAAUAAUGAACGUGAGGGCUAUCCCUCUGUUACACUUUUGUGAAUACUAUUAGUUUAGGUUGUUUUUAUUUUAAUUAUUUAAAAUGCCAGUUGACAUUUAUCUCUUAGGUGCAGUGUUUUAAAAACCCGACUGGACCGGUCGAACCGGGAACCGGCCAGGUAACCGGUCUGGUUCAAUAGUCAGAUCGGGUAUGCCAUCAAACCGGUGGGAACCGGUGAAAACCGGAAAAACCGGCGGUUUAAUUGUUUUUUUUUUAAAACUUUUUUUUAAAUUUUUUUUAAAAUUUUUUUUUUUAACAUUUCUUUUAAACUUUUUUUUUUUAACUUUUUUUUAAAUAUAUUUAGUAGUGUAUUACUUAAAUAGCAUUCUCACAUAGUUUUUUUUCGUUAGUGAAACUAUUCAAUUAGAUUAUGUUGUAAUUAGACUUUGUAAUUUUUUACUAUUUUGUUAUGUGUGAUACCUUUGUUUAAAAUUUGAAUUUAAGUUAUGAAAUUGUGAAUUUAUGAUAUGAUAUUUUUAAAAAAUUUAAAAGCUAGUUAUAUUUUUUUAAAGACUGAAUCAUCCGGUUCGACCAGUUUUAUACCUAUAUAAUGACAGGUCUAUUCAACCGAGUUAUCCGGUUUAAUCCGGUUUGGUCGUGCGGUUCGACCAGUGACCCAGUGGUUCGACCGAUAAACCAGUGACCUAGUACCCUCACCGGUUCGAUGACCGGUCCGGUUUUUAAAACACUACUUAGGUGACCUGGUGUUUGAAUUUGUCAAAAUUCUAACCAUUAAUUAUUAAGAAAAUAAGAUGAGAAAGGGUUUGUCACUACGUUUCAAAUUCUAAUUGUUUUCUUUUCAUUUUUUUUUAAUUAUUACUAAAUCAUUCUUUUAAUUAGUAUAUCCAAUUUGUAAAUAUAUUACUCCCGGAUCAAAUUAACUUGUAUAUAAUCUAUAAUUUAUAUGUAUAUAAAUCUUUAAUUAAUAAACCAUAAAAGGAUAUGCAAAAAUAAUAAUAAUAAUAAUAAUAAUAAUAAUAAUAAUAAUAAUAAUAAUAAUAAUAAUAAUAAAAACACAAAAAAAAAUACAUUUGUUUGAUUUUUUAUUUCUCUUUUAGGAUUUAAUAUGACUAUUAUUUAGAUUUUCAUUUUGAUAAUUUUAAUUCGUACUUGUUCAUAUUUUCACCAUUAUAUUGUUUAUUGCGAGGUACAUUCGAGCUGUUUAUCUAUUCUAAAGGACCAGAACGCGCUGCUCCACCAUAGACCUCCACCACACUGAAUCAGGUGAUUCGCAUUGAGAGGAGGUUAGCCGAGUUGGUCUUGAGUCGUUGUCACUCUGAUACGUAGCACUCGGGGGACAAACGCAUUGAUUUACUUGCUUUUGAAUUAUUAUGUUUUGGCAAAUAAUUGAGUUGUCUUUUAAGAUUGCCACUUUAAUUAUGUUAAUUGUUGAAUUAUGACGCUAUGACUUCUUGAACUAAUUGUUGAGUUCCCGUUACACUUCUAUGGAAUUUGUUUUAUGUUAAAGACCA